ACCGCGAUAGUAUAGUGGCAAGUAUCUCCGCCUGUCACGUGGAAGACCCGGGUUCAAUUCCCGGUCGCGGGG
rfam:Hymenolepis nana genome assembly, scaffold: HNAJ_contig0001989